ensembl:lncRNA
GGAAAAUGAAGCAGCCAUGGUAAUCGUCAGUGGAAACGAGGACAUUAAAAUCGUCAUUGACGGAACAGAGGUCCUCAGAGAGGUGCCCACAAUAGCAACGGCUGUUGCUAUGUUCUUCGGGCUCACCUAUGUUCUCAACAUAAAAUAUCCCAAAAAUCUGCACUAUACCCUUGAGUUUGUGCAAAAGGUCCUGAUGAAGCUUGGUGGAAAAAAGAUGUCCCCAGAAAUUCAUAGGCUGAGUACCCAGCUUGGCAGCCAAGAGUAGGCACAGCAGAGUUCCAAUGUUAGGCCUGAUUUAAUGGCAUUUCUACAACCAAGACUUUGUACCGUUUUAUCUGGGGUUGGCGUUUGAAACACUUGCACAACUACAUUUCUGCUACAGUAUGGACAAAAGAAUCUGCCUAAGGUUUCACAGGCACAAGUGGGUAUUGUGCUGGAGAGCACUGAUUUGUUUAUUGCAGCAUUUUCUGACCAAGAGGAUCAGGAGCUACCUCACUCGUUUGCAAGUUAUGGAACUGAUGACGUUCACACACAUCACUUUUGAUUUUAAGGAAUAAUUCCUCUCUGACUGUAUUACAUUGCAUUUUCAAAUGGUCACUGUUCAGUGAGAAAAAUGUUCCCAAAUGCUGUUGGUUUACUUGAAAAUGCAUGUCUUCAUUACUGUUUGUGUUUGAGAUGUGAUGGUUGAGAAGCACUGGUUUAUGUUAAUACAAUGAGAUGUUGCUGUUGUAUUUGAGGGGAAAAGACAUCAUUGAGAAGGACUGUUUUUAAGGUGGGACUAUGUUGAAAAAAAUGUUAAUUCAACAAUAAAUGUGUUGAAAAGGAAUGGCUUCUGAGUUUAAAUCAAAAUGUAUUAAAAUAUCUUUUUUUAAUUCAGGUCUAUAAAUAUUAAAGUAUCACUUUAAAUUUUUAUUUGAGACAACUUAAAAAAAUAGUUUUCUCCGAUAUUCAAAAGUUGUUUAAAUGAAUUUAAAAUAUUCAGGUUUAACAAAGUAGAUUAUUUACAUUAAGCAAUAAAACCAAUGUAUUUAUUUUAAUUUAGGAAAAUCUGAAAUAAUUGCUUUGGUUCAACCUUCAGAAAUGGGUUUACACGAAGUUAAAUAUUUCAGGUCAAAUCAAAUGAAUUAUUUAUAUUGUAUAACACUAGAAUAUUAGUUGUGAUCGAUUACCUCAAUUUUUCUAAUUUGAGCCAAUGUUAGAUUUUUUUCAGUGCACACACUCCUCAGAAACAUCUGGAGAUGGAGUCUGAAGGCUCCAUGUUAAAGCUGUCACUUUGUCACCUCCUCCUCUCCUUCUCUGUCUCCUCAGCAGGGUCAUUUGUAGUGAAUGUGACACAGAGCUGGUAUCAUGCAGAGGAGAACCACAACAUCUCACUGGAAUGGAUGUUCCCCACCAGCACGGACCCCUCCCCCAACGCCCUUUAUGUCUCCUGUGAGAUGUUAGCUGAUGAG